GGACAUCAGGAGGUUAGUGCAAUGGCAUAAGCCAGCUUGACUGCGAGCGUGACGGCGCGAGCAGGUGCGAAAGCAGGUCAUAGUGAUCCGGUGGUUCUGAAUGGAAGGGCCAUCGCUCAACGGAUAAAAGGUACUCCGGGGAUAACAGGCUGAUACCGCCCAAGAGUUCAUAUCGACGGCGGUGUUUGGCACCUCGAUGUCGGCUCAUCACAUCCUGGGGCUGAAGUAGGUCCCAAGGGUAUGGCUGUUCGCCAUUUAAAGUGGUACGCGAGCUGGGUUUAGAACGUCGUGAGACAGUUCGGUCCCUAUCUGCCGUGGGCGCUGGAGAAUUGAGGGGGGCUGCUCCUAGUACGAGAGGACCGGAGUGGACGCAUCACUGGUGUUCGGGUUGUCAUGCCAAUGGCACUGCCCGGUAGCUAAAUGCGGAAGAGAUAAGUGCUGAAAGCAUCUAAGCACGAAACUUGCCCCGAGAUGAGUUCUCCCUGAGACUU
rnacentral:rRNA from 1 species